ensembl:snoRNA
GCUGGUGUAAGUGAUGACUGAUUUUUUUUCCCCAUCAGAGCGACAGUGUUGAUUUCUUGCUAUUCAAGCCAGAUCGUGUCUGAUGCACCAGC